GUGCCAGCCGCCGCGGUAAGACGAGGGAUCCUAGCGUUGUUCGGAAUCAUUGGGCGUAAAGCGGGUGUAGGUGGCUUUGUAAGUCGAGUGUGAAAGCCUGGGGCUCAACCCCAGAAGUGCAUUCGAUACUGCGAAGCUUGAGUGGUAGAGAGAUUAGUAGAAUUGUUGGUGUAGUGGUGAAAUACGUAGAUAUCAACAGGAAUACCGGAGGCGAAGGCGGCUAAUUGGCUACACACUGACACUCAGACCCGAAAGUGCGGGGAUCAAACAGGAUUAGAUACCCUGGUAGUCCGCACCAUAAACGAUGGAUACUUGUUGUUGGAGGUAUUGACCCCUUCAGUGACGAAGCUAACGCGUUAAGUAUCCCGCCUGGGGAGUACGGUCGCAAGAUUAAAACUCAAAUGAAUUGGCGG
rnacentral:rRNA from 1 species